rnacentral:sRNA from 2 species
UCAAUCUGAGCGCUUAAUUCUUUCAGUUAGAAAGAAGCGGGGGAACCAAUAUUUUGGGGUGAAUCCCCUUCGAUUAAAGAAUAAUGAUUCGUUCUUAAUCAAAGGGGUAGGGUUAGACUCUUCAAUCCGAACCCGACAGCUAACCUCGCAAGCGUGGCAAGAGGAGGU